UUUGUGUGUGUAUGUGUGUGUAUGUGUAUAUAUAUAUAUAUAUAUACACACACACACACACACACAUACAUA